rnacentral:rRNA from 1 species
UACGAAGGGGGCUAGCGUUGCUCGGAAUGACUGGGCGUAAAGGGCGCGUAGGCGGAUGGCACAGUCAGAUGUGAAAUUCCCGGGCUUAACCUGGGGGCUGCAUUUGAUACGUGUGAUCUAGAGUGAGGAAGAGGGUCGUGGAAUUCCCAGUGUAGAGGUGAAAUUCGUAGAUAUUGGGAAGAACACCGGUGGCGAAGGCGGCGACCUGGUCCUUGACUGACGCUGAGGCGCGAAAUCGUGGGGAGCAAACAGG